rnacentral:rRNA from 1 species
AACGAACGCUGGCGGCAGGCUUAACACAUGCAAGUCGAACGCACCUUUCGGGGUGAGUGGCAGACGGGUGAGUAACGCGUGGGAAUCUACCCUUCUCUACGGGAUAGCUCCGGGAAACUGGAAUUAAUACCGUAUACGUCCUGAGGGAGAAAGAUUUAUCGGGGAAGGAUGAGCCCGCGUUGGAUUAGCUAGUUGGUGGGGUAAAGGCCUACCAAGGCGAUGAUCCAUAGCUGGUCUAAGAGGAUGAUCAGCCACAUUGGGACUGAGACACGGCCCAAACUCCUACGGGAGGCAGCAGUGGGGAAUAUUGGACAAUGGGCGCAAGCCUGAUCCAGCCAUGCCGCGUGAGUGAUGAAGGCCCUAGGGUUGUAAAGCUCUUUCAGUGGGGACGAUAAUGACGGUACCCACAGAAGAAGCCCCGGCUAACUUCGUG